AUUGAACGCUGGCGGCAUGCCUUACACAUGCAAGUCGGACGGUAACAGGUCUUCGGAUGCUGACGAGUGGCGAACGGGUGAGUAAUACAUCGGAACGUGCCUAGUAGUGGGGGAUAACUACUCGAAAGAGUGGCUAAUACCGCAUGAGAUCUACGGAUGAAAGCAGGGGAUCGCAAGACCUUGUGCUACUAGAGCGGUCGAUGGCAGAUUAGGUAGUUGGUGGGAUAAAAGCUUACCAAGCCGACGAUCUGUAGCUGGUCUGAGAGGACGAUCAGCCACACUGGGACUGAGACACGGCCCAGACUCCUACGGGAGGCAGCGGUGGGGAAUUUUGGACAAUGGGCGCAAGCCUGAUCCAGCAAUGCCGCGUGCAGGAUGAAGGCCUUCGGGUUGUAAACUGCUUUUGUACGGAACGAAAAGCCCUGGGUUAAUACCCUGGGGUCAUGACUGUACCGUAAGAAUAAGCACCGGCUAACUACGUGCCAGCAGCCGCCGCCGUAA
rnacentral:rRNA from 1 species